rnacentral:rRNA from 1 species
GAUGAACGCUGGCGGCGUGCCUAAUACAUGCAAGUCGAGCGAACAGACGAGGAGCUUGCUCCUCUGACGUUAGCGGCGGACGGGUGAGUAACACGUGGAUAACCUACCUAUAAGACUGGGAUAACUUCGGGAAACCGGAGCUAAUACCGGAUAAUAUAUUGAACCGCAUGGUUCAAUAGUGAAAGACGGUUUUGCUGUCACUUAUAGAUGGAUCCGCGCCGCAUUAGCUAGUUGGUAAGGUAACGGCUUACCAAGGCGACGAUGCGUAGCCGACCUGAGAGGGUGAUCGGCCACACUGGAACUGAGACACGGUCCAGACUCCUACGGGAGGCAGCAGUAGGGAAUCUUCCGCAAGGGGCGAAAGCCUGACGGAGCAACGCCGCGUGAGUGAUGAAGGGCUUCGGAUCGUAAAACUCUGUUAUUAGGGAAGAACAAAUGUGUAAGUAACGAUGCACGUCUUGACGGUACCUAAUCAGAAAGCCACGGCUAACUACGU